GCGCGGUUAGCUCAUUUGGUAGAGCGUUCCCUUGACGUGGGAAAGGCGACAAGUUCGAAUCUUGUACUGCGCA
rnacentral:tRNA from 1 species